GGCCCAGUAGCUCAAUUGAAUAGAGCGCGCUUUUGUCAAAGGCGGGGAUGUCGGGUCGAGUCCGACCGGGGCCA
rnacentral:tRNA from 1 species